rnacentral:lncRNA from 1 species
UUUUUUUUUUUUUUUUUUUUUAGAAAUUUUGUUCUCAAACGACAUGCCCAAAGUUCUAAUGGUUCUUUUCAGAGAUUUAAAUUGCAGUGGCAUGUGGUGGUGGGUGGGGGUGGUCAAAGUUAGAUGUAAAAUAUUUUCUGGCAGCAAGGAUUGCUAAAUUUCAGAAUUGAUCACAGAGAGGCACCGAGGAAUAUCCUGCCCUAGACCAUCAGAUGAACCCAGAGCAUAUCCUAAAUGGCCAGGGAGCAUGCAGGGAAGUCUAGUUAGGGGUGGUAUGGCACUGGGUCCCCCCUGGAGGUCCUUCCUGACAUUCUCAUUGGCUCGAUGCUUGUUUAUACCUCUAUUUCUUUGAAAAUGUUUUAUAUGCUCCUGAGAGCCCCGCACCAUGAGCCACAGUAAGACAUUGUGUGUGCGUACACGCACAUCUCAUUUUAAAGCAGAGAAGGGAACCAACUCUCUUUGGCCUGGGGAAAGAACAUUAAUAAAGAGCCCAAGCAGAUGCACAAGAUUAAAGUAUUUUUCAAACUAAUGAUUUGAUUGAUUGCCCCUAAAGGCCCAGCCAAAGAAGAACACAACUUACUUGGCUUCACAGUGAGCAUGGUCCCGUCCCCAAAGGUUAAUUUGCCUGUGUUGGUGUUACACAGUGCUCAGUGCUAUUGCAAUAACCUUGACUGGGGCCUCUAGGAAGACAGGUGGAGGUGGAGGAGGCAAGCAGGAAAACAAAACCUGAAAUGACUGCCCAUGGCCAAAACAAUCUCCUUGUAAUUAGGUUAGAACGUGGGAUGAAUACUAAUAACUAGCAACUUCGCAGCCCGAUUGUACUUGCCAUAAUUUUCCUUGAAAGAAUGGGCCUUGGCAGGAGUACCUCCUGGGAAAUUCACUCAAAGUAGCUACUGCUGGUCUCCUGGGAUCCCAUCUUGUUUGUUAUUCCUGCAGGCCUUUGUCUAUUUUCAUCCAAUUCCUGCCUUCUUCCUCCCUACUUUCCCUGGACCCUCCUCCUUGCGGCUCACAUAUUUUCUCAGGGAGAGACUCCAUGGAUAGCAAAAGUCAAGCAUAAAACCCUAGGGAAUCUAUGCUUUAAUAACCUUGUUUUCCAACUGGUAUCAUGAACCACCCAACACAAACCAAGCAAAGAAAACACCACCUGUGUUUUGACAGCUUCUGCAUGAUGUAAGACAGGCUUCUUGGGAAGAAUAAUUAGCCAGAAAAAAGAACUUACUUGGUGUGACCAGGAGUUUGGUGCCCUUCCCGAAUGUGAGCUGGCUACCAACCCCAGAGUACACACAGAGUUUCCUUUCUUUGCAAAAACUCUCUAGAUGCUGAGGAAAUCAAACUACUCACAGCACAGGAGCAAUGCUGACCAAAGCUCAGACUGUAAUGGUAAUCAGAUGACAGGCAGAAGAGCCAUGACAGAGGCUGGCCAUGGGAUGAACCAUCCUUCACCAGGCGAGACCUGGCUGGAAUUCAGAGGCCAUCUUGCCCAUCCUUCUGUCUUCAACCAAGGUGUUCUCUGACCAAAGACCUAUCCAUUCUUGAAGAGCCCCUGGGAAGGUGGCUCUCUUUUGCCAACAGCUUUUGCAUUCAAGCAUCUGUGCCUUAUCUAAUUGAAAUCUGCUAACUGCAGUCUGACUUCUUGGUAUCUCCAGCCUCUUGCCUUGAAGACUGGAGACUCCAGGUCAACAAACUCCAAAUAGAAACUCAUCAUAACAUACCACACCAGUCCCAGUGGUCCUUUCUGGGGAGAAAACUCCUAUUGAAGGAACUAGGUCAAGGUGAAUAUUGGCUUUAACUGUAAUUUGAAUUGUUUUUACAAUGAGAAAUUUCGUGUGUUACUUAGACAAAUGAAAAUUAAUAAACAUUAAAUAUUUUAAAUAGCUCCUGGAUCUCAGAUGAGCCUCCCUGUGUACCACAGGCCAAGGACUCUCUGGUUUUCUGUCCUCAAGUUUGGUUUCCUGGGAUCAGUAGAGGGAACUGGGCCAAGACAUGUGGUCAGAGCAAGCUGGAGGUGCCGAGGCUGGGCUGAUGUACAUGUGUUUGCCUGUGAUUGUCUGGUGGGCUUGUGAAUCAUGCUAGUGUACCUGCUCAUCUUCCUGCUCAGAACUAACUUCCCAGCUCUUAACAGACCUUUUUUUUCGGGGGGGGGGGGGGGGGGCCAAAAGCAUUCCUAGGGACCUUAAUGACCUUAAAAGUCAUUAAAGGAAGAAGCCAUGCUGAUCAAAGUUAGGAAUGGCCGCCGGAUACUUACCUGCAAUCACAGAAAGUCUUUCCUGAAUUCGCACAGCGAUUGCCCCCACAAAAGUCUGAAUGCCUGGCUCAAGUUUUUCUGGAUGUUUCCUCUUGUUAAUCUUUUUCCAAGAUCAAAAUCUUCCCUUUAACAAUAGUUUUUGUUUUCCUUAGCAUGUCUUUGCCUCCUUCUCCUUGACCCUCUACAAAAUGUGGUAUGAUUAAGAUGCCUCUGGCUUUGACUGUCUACAAGAGCUUCCAUACAUGACUGUAUACAAGAGCUUGGGCCAUGAAGUUGUGGCCCAAGAAUGAAUUUUUGAAACCUGCAAACUUCCAAUUUAUUGUUAGCCUAUGAAAAAUGUUUCAAAGGAAACUCCUGUCUCUGGUCUCAUGAUGAACUUUUUGCUGUGCUAGAAAUGAAAAGGGGUGGCUACUUUUCCUACAUGAAGAAAAGGAUUUGGAAAAUGGCACAGAGCGAGAAAGCCCAACCUAAGUUGUUGCUCUUGGCCAACACACCACCUUUGUUGCUUCUGACAUUUAAGUAGGCCUUUAAAAAGUUAUCUCCCACCCAUCCCUGGAACAUGGGAAAUGAGAAGGCAUGGAGCAUCAGAGCCAGGAAUCUUAGCAGAGGCCCAACAGGAAAAAGCGAGUCUCUCAUGAAGAGUGGAAGGAGAGGGUCUAGGCUGCAGUUACUUCCAAAACCACUUUAGUUGGAGCUAGAACUCACACUGAGUUUAACAAUGUGUUCAAAGUCUGCUAGGGACAAGCCCGGAGAGGGGGGAGGCUUGAAAAUAGACUCUGGGCAAAAGUUCACAAUUUUGUACUCUUGAUAAUAUACAAACAAUGAAAAAGAUCAUUGAUAUGUAAGCAACAGAACACUGGCAGCAACUUUCCCAGCUCUGGAGGGGAAAUAAUUGGUAUUUGGCUAGGCUGUGGAAGGGCCAAGGUGCAGGCCUCCAUGAGAGUGGAAGGGCCAAGGACCUAGAUGCUGCCCACACGUCUUCAAGCCUAAGAAACUUUUCAUGCCUGACACCAAAACCACUUUGAAUUCAGUGGGAGUUAAUACCAGAAAAUCACAAGAACAGCACUUACUGGGGAGAACAUGAAGUUGAGUCCCCUUUCCAAAGAUGAUUUUUUCCGAACUUUGUACACACUAUGAUUGGGGCCAUAACAAAAACUCUUGGUGACUCUUUUCAGGAAAGUUAUACAUCCCUACACAGAUAUUUCAUCUUCCAGGGACCUAACAGAUCCCCACACUGUCUCCUCCUACUAUAAUAAACAGACCUCAUUAUCUCUUCAGCCAUCUUUCCCUGUGUCUCCUGGUUAUUUUGCUUGAAUUUUAUUCUGCUUAUUGCAUAGAAGAAAUUGCAUGACCCCAUUUAACAGCGAGGACAAAUUAUAAAAGCAAAAAUUCAGCAAACUCCUUUGUGAUAUCAAACACAAUUCUAUUACAGAAGUCAAAAAACGUGUGGCCAACUGCCAUUGGGCUAGAGAU